GUUGCUCCUCCACCUCAGGCGCCUACAGUUGAUCAUCCAGUUGGGCCAAUCACUCGGGCCUGUGCGAGAGAAUUAAACUUCAUCAUGCUGUUAAGGAACGAAGGCCCAGCGGAAUAAGAAGAUGGCCCAACAGGGCAGCCCAGGUGGGGCGCCUAGGGUUGGGAGCCACGGCCCUCCCCCUGGUCGCGCGCGCCCCCCUCCUGCCGUGGCGCCUCCUCCAGACUCCAGGGGCUGCGCCCCCUUUAUCUAGUCGGAGUCCCUUUUGUUUACGACUUGAGUUUUGUUUUACAUCUAGCUUUAGCUACUCUCGAACAUGUGCAAAUACGCGCUGUCCUUGUGUGAUUCAAAACUCCACCUUCGAGUGAUAUUUAGAUUGCUCGCCUUUUUUUCUUGUUCGUUCUUCGAUUACGGACAGGAAUCGAUCUUCG
rnacentral:lncRNA from 1 species